GUGUUCAACACAGAAUAUUUCUGUCACUAUGAACUAUCUAUCUACGUAUAUAAUAUAUAGCCAAAAUGUAUUUCACAUUCUUUCAUGUAUGACAUGUUUUGUGUAAUAAUAAUCACACUGAGAUAUGUGGGUGGAGCAUGAAGAGAUUGAGUUGGCAUUCAUCUCUUAUGAUUUCAGUGUGUUCUUCAGCAGUGCAAAAAUGAGAUCGCUUUUUUACCUACUUGUACUAUUAGCCAUUCAGGAAUCCUUUGGCCAAUCAAUAACACCAUUGGAGACCACAAAACAUGCCACUGAGAGAGAGUCAGUCAUUCUCUCAUGCAAAUAUGAUAGCCAAGCACGUACUUUACAUUGGUAUCGACAAUAUCCUGGAUCCAGACCUCAAUUUCUGAUUUUUGUUUAUGAAUCUGGCAGUGUAACACAUGCAGAACCCCCUAUCCCAAGACUGAGUGCCAGUGUGAAUAAGGUGGAGAAGCAGGUAGAUCUGAAGAUCUCUUCUGCUGCAGUCACGGAUUCAGCGCUGUACUACUGCGCCCUGGAGCCCACAGUGACAGGAAGAGCAACCACACUGUACAAAAACCUCUAUGAGGAGUAAUGUU